AUGCGCGACGCCCCGUCGAGCUGGCCGGCGGCGGCGAGGGCGGCAACAAGGGCCCGGGGCAGGGCGGUGGCGCGGUUCGUGCAGACCAGGCACCGCUCCUCCGGCAAGGUGCUCGGCGAGGAGGAGACGGCCGCCGAGAACGUCUACAUCAAGUCAAGUGCUGUUCUUGGUGGAGUUGCGCCUCCAGUGCGCUCUUCGGGCUGCUCGGAGCCAUGCUGUCAGAGCUCUUCAUCAACUGGGCCAUCUACACCAACAAGGAGGGUGCAUCUCCAACCAAUUCUGCAGCGGUGCUACCGGACGCAAGGGUGGAGAAUGCGCCUCCUUGCCGAAGCUUCUCGCUCUAGCGGUCUGGUGCUGGUGAUCUCAGCCCGUAUAGAUGGAUUGGCCAGCAGCUGUGUAUACGGCAGCGGCGCUGCUGUACUACUACACCUAUGA
rnacentral:rRNA from 1 species